rnacentral:rRNA from 1 species
AACGCGAAGAACCUUACCCAGGCUUGACAUGCAGUAGACAGCGCCAGAGAUGGCGCCUUCCUUCGGGACUGCUGCACAGGUGCUGCAUGGCUGUCGUCAGCUCGUGCCGUGAGGUGUUGGGUUAAGUCCCGCAACGAGCGCAACCCUUAUCGUUAGUUGCCAACAUUUAAGGUGGGAACUCUAACGAGACUGCCCGGGUUAACCGGGAGGAAGGUGAGGAUGACGUCAAGUCCGCAUGGCCCUUAUGUCUGGGGCUACACACGUGCUACAAUGGUCGGUACAGAAGGCAGCGAAACCGUGAGGCGGAGCAAAUCCCCAAAGCCGACCCCAGUUCAGAUUGUAGUCUGCAACUCGACUACAUGAAGACGGAAUUGCUAGUAAUGGCGAGUCAGCAACAUCGCCGUGAAUACGUUCCCGGGCCUUGUACACACCGGCUAC